AGUGAACGCUGGCGGUAGGCCUAACACAUGCAAGUCGAACGGCAGCACAGUAAGAGCUUGCUCUUACGGGUGGCGAGUGGCGGACGGGUGAGGAAUACAUCGGAAUCUACUUUUUCGUGGGGGAUAACGUAGGGAAACUUACGCUAAUACCGCAUACGACCUACGGGUGAAAGCAGGGGAUCUUCGGACCUUGCGCGAUUGAAUGAGCCGAUGUCGGAUUAGCUAGUUGGCGGGGUAAAGGCCCACCAAGGCGACGAUGCGUAGCUGGUCUGAGAGGAUGGGCGGCCACAUGGGAAAUGAGACACGGUACAGAGUCGUACGGGAGGCAGCAGUAGGGAAUAGUAGGCAAUGGGAGAAAGCCGGACGGAGCAAUGCCGGGUGAGUGAAGAAGGGCGUCUGAUCGUAAAACUCUGUUAUGAGGGAAGAACAGAUGGGUAAGUAAACGUGGACAGCGUGACGGUACCUAAUAAGAAAGCCACGGCUAACUACGUG
rnacentral:rRNA from 1 species